ensembl:lncRNA
GAGAAACAUACUUCGAGAUUUCAGUUCCAUACCACAAAUCGACAUGAUGCCAUUUUUCAACUGUAGAAAAAGAAUCUGCUUAUGAAUUUGACAUAUUUAUGGUAGCAUCAAAGGCCAAAUUUUCCAUGUGUUAACAUUUUUCCACAUUUGUCCUUGAAUCUGAAUAACUUCAUACAGUACUGUAAAUUCAGCUUACAUUGAGUUUGAUGUCAGUUCUUGUGAAAAGAGCUUCUGCACGCAACAGACACAGGUAAAGAACACAGCAGAGCACAUCUGCAGGACCGGUUUUGGAACCAGUAGAUGUCACCUCUCAUUUGCCAUCGUCAUAUGUCAGUUUUACCAGCUCCUUCUAAAUGUUUGUAGUAUUUGUAAGGGAAAGACAGAAAUCCCUAAGACUUGUCUAAUAACUUAGUGGAGAGUGUGUGUGUUGGGUUUAGGAUGGAUAGCAAAGUCGUCUUGAGCUGUGUUAUCUAACUUGUAUAUAAAACUGUAAUUAAAAGUUUGGAUUCACCUGUUUCUUGCCGUUAACAAUGAUGAAUAAUUUGCAAACUCUGGAAAUGUGACUAGGAUAUGAUUUCAGACAGUAGAAGUUGAGGAAGCUCUUUAAGUGCUAAAACUGAAGACUUCUUGUUUUUGGCUCAAAUUCAAUAAGUACUGUGUACCAGGAUAUGUGAGAUGUAAAUGUAAUAGGUCACUUUUCACCCUUGUAGCUAUACAAUAAAAGUUUUGUAGAACAGAAAUAGAUCGUACUACUGAAUUAACAAAAGUUAUACUAAAGUAUCAUGUUUAAAAAAUAUAUAAAAUACACACACCUAUAUAUAUAUAUUAAAUACCCGCACACACCUGAAAUGGCCUAAAGCAGACAUCCAUGUAAUUACAGUUGCAAAAUGAAGACAUUUUGGAAAGAACAUUGUAUCAUAGUUCAUUCAUUUGCAGUGGAUCUUUGUUCCUUUUUACUGUGGUAAUUUUAGAAAUGAGUGUCAAGUUUGAAAUUAGAUCUGCUAAGUUGGGGUUUUGCUGCUUAAACUCUGCACUGGGUCCUCAAAUAAACCGAUGUGAAUGUAGUCUCCCCCCAACCCCCACCCCCCGUGUGAAGAAGCAGCCACACCCCAACAGAAUAGGAGGAAAAAUCUAGAACUAUUUCAAGUUUUAUCUUUUUGUAUAUGAAAAUAAAAUAAUAAUGAUUAAAAAAAACCCUGUGGUCUCUCUUAAUCACAUGGCAGGGGGGUUCUGUUCUCCCACUUACAGGGCCAACUUGAG